rnacentral:lncRNA from 1 species
GUAGCCAUCUCUGCGACCUGCAAAGAUGAAAAGGGAAAGCAGGAGAUGGAAACUGGUCAGCAGCCUUCUGGUUUAUCAGCCACACUUACAAAGGUCAAAUGUGCAAAGCGUCAGAAGACAGUGGUUAGAGUGAGAUUCUACAUGCUCUCAAUGAAGAAUAAAGCAUGCAGGAAGAACCUUUCAAAAGGUUACAACCAGAGACCUGAAGGAAGCAAGGAAGAAAGCCACAUGGUUGUCAAAGAGAAGAGGAAAGGAGAUCACUAAGCUGGAUGACGUUUUCUGUUUCUUUGAAAACAGAGAAGAUGACAAGUUAGGGAGAGAUCAGAGGUCAUACUGUGAAGCACCUUUGGAUAAACGGCAGGGACUUUGGAUUUUCUUUUUGAAUAUAAGCAUAAUCCAUUGAAAGGUCUCAUGCAGGGAAGUGGCAAAACACUUUUAAAAUUUUUCAUCUUUUCUUUCUGAAGCAGAGUUCACUCUCCAUUUAUUUGUCUUCUUUGAUAUCUCUCAAUAGAAUGUUGCAGUUUUAGUAUUCUCCUAUUAAACAUUUGUUUAACUUUCU